AGUUCAGGAUAACGGGAGUGACUGCACUUUUAUCGGACAAUGCACAAACAAGGCGGCUUGUACUGCACAAUGCGAACAAAAGUUCAAGAUUUCUGGGAUAUGCACUCCUUACAACAACCAAAUGGCUUGCUGCUGUCUUACAGGAUGAUUUGGAAGGAAGCUUGGCAGGCCUUUUGCUUCAUGCUUUUGGAGUCUUCAUAA
rnacentral:lncRNA from 1 species